rnacentral:rRNA from 1 species
GAUGAACGCUGGCGGCGUGCCUAAUACAUGCAAGUCGAGCGAACGGACGAGAAGCUUGCUUUUCUGAUGUUAGCGGCGGACGGGUGAGUAACACGUGGAUAACCUACCUAUAAGACUGGGAUAACUUCGGGAAACCGGAGCUAAUACCGGAUAAUAUUUUGAACCGCAUGGUUCAAAAGUGAAAGACGGUCUUGCUGUCACUUAUAGAUGGAUCCGCGCUGCAUUAGCUAGUUGGGAAGGUAACGGCUUACCAAGGCAACGAUGCAUAGCCGACCUGAGAGGGUGAUCGGCCACCCUGGAACUGAGACACGGUCCAGACUCCUACGGGAGGCAGCAGUAGGGAAUCUUCCGCAAUGGGCGAAAGCCUGACGGAGCAACGCCGCGUGAGUGAUGAAGGUCUUCGGAUCGUAAAACUCUGUUAUGAGGGAAGAACAUAUGUGUAAGUAACUGUGCACAUCUUGACGGUACCUAAUCAGAAAGCCACGGCUAACUACGUG